UACGGGGGGAGCAAGCGUUGUUCGGAUUUACUGGGCGUAAAGGGCGCGUAGGCGGCCACCGCAAGUCGACUGUGAAAUCUCCGGGCUUAACCCGGAAAGGUCAGCCGAUACUGCGGGGCUAGAGUGCAGAAGGGGCAACUGGAAUUCUCGGUGUAGCGGUGAAAUGCGUAGAUAUCGGAAGGAACAUCAGUGGCGAAAGCGACUUCCUGGACCAAUACUGACGCUCAUGUGCGAAAGCGUGGGGAGCAAACAGG
rnacentral:rRNA from 1 species